rnacentral:misc_RNA from 1 species
AUUUCCCAUCUUUUUAUAGCACCUAAUUAUUCCUUAUGAGAUGAGAGUGAAUUAUUAGGUGCUAUAAAAAGAUGGGAAAUUAUGAAUGCAUUCAUAUUGAAGGAAUCAAAGACGACUAGAAUCUAAGCAACUAAUUCUCAUCCGCCAGAAUCCAAUGUACAAUGGAAUAGCUGCAACUGAAACUUAUGUAUGACCCAUUUGAUACGUAAUCCAUAGAUGAUAUAGUCCUAAACAUCAAGAAUCCUUGUACUUCUUUAACUGCUUUUCUUUUUCAACUCCCUCACAGAAACUAAGGACUGCUCUAAGUCAGUAAUCUUCGAUGGGAGAAAGACCAAACAUAUGUAGCACUAUUAAAAAUUUAUCUUCCCACGAAUCU